UUUCAUUAAAUUUUCUUAGUAAUGCGUUCUUGGAUUGUUUUCUAUGUCAUGCUAGAAAUUUUCACAUAUGUUCGUGCACGAUGUUGAUGACGUCUUUCAGAGUCACGCAAUGCGCAAACUCUUGUUGACCACGUUAUCGAUCCCAAUAGCUAAUCUUCCUAGAAAUUCUUGGGUUGCAGAAUGUUUUUUCCCUAUUGCGUGUUAGAAAGUAGAAUUGUCGACAUCCAUGACGGGGAUCAGAAUCCAGUUUUGUGAGCGGAAUCGACGGAUGCACCGGUGAAUACUCGUUAUUCACCGAUGACGCGGGAUUUGGACGUCGACCCGAUGUCACGCCAUGGCUAGAAAUGGGAAGGUGUGUCGUCGAGAGGACCAAUCCGCUUCAGUUACCAUUUUUACGCGCUCUAUUCAUAGAUUAGCCGUUUUUUGCUCUUAAAAUUUAGGUUUCUCUUAAAAGAUUAACGGAUUUGCUUUGACAGGGAAAACGGCCAAGGUUGGUAAAGAACUAACCGUACAAGAGGAAAAUCAGUUAACGAAAAAUACGAUUUUAGUCCCGUUUACGUAAGUUGCGUCAUUUAUCCGGACGUUGAUUGUACGCCCAAUAGCGAAUGACGUUGUGGUCGUAAGACUGUUUACUUAUCUUUUUAAUAUUCCCAACCAACCGAAUUUUAUUUUUUCGAGACGCUGGGUUGCGCUAAUCUCUAGUCAACAUGGACCGAUCGCAGAGGAGUGAGCCAACUAUUUGGGCAUGAUAAAAUUAUGAUUUUUAGCGCCUCCGGUUCAAAAUAGACCUUCCACAACCUUGAAGGAUGCUGUUAGUUCUUUUUUUAUUUUGGGAAAAGAGUUUUUAGCAGUCCGGCAAUGCACUUCCCCCUUUGGCAAACGGUAUAAACUUGUUUUCGGCGUCCGGCUAUCCGCCCUUUCCCGCCGGACUGGCGACUGUUAACAGUCAAGUGGCGGCGGCGCUCUAUUUGGCUUCCGAAUCACGAACCUGUGUAGUAGGGCACCCAUUCUAAAAAACAAAUGCUUAAGCUUUUUUCCGCUGACGGGGAACGUUUUAUUUCUACUCCCGUCAGUCGGGGCAGAAAUUGAACUGCGUCGUCAUUUAUGCGGAGGUUCUGCGUGUCUGAAAUGCCAGACUAUGGAGUCAGGUGAAUUGCGUUUUCCCGUUCGGGCACAAUUCGAUCCAACAGCAGUAUAAUAAUGUUGUUCCUGUAUGCAUUUUAAUGGUUUGCAGUUCCAAAUCCGAAA